UACGUAGGGCGCAAGCGUUAUCCGGAAUUAUUGGGCGUAAAGAGCUCGUAGGCGGUUUGUCGCGUCUGCUGUGAAAACUCGGGGCUUAACCCCGGGCCUGCAGUGGGUACGGGGCAGACUAGAGUGCGGUAGGGGAGACUGGAAUUCCUGGUGUAGCGGUGAAAUGCGCAGAUAUCAGGAGGAACACCGGUGGCGAAGGCGGAUCUCUGGGCCAUUACUGACGCUGAGGAGCGAAAGCGUGGGGAGCGAACAGG
rnacentral:rRNA from 1 species